rnacentral:rRNA from 1 species
AGAGUUUGAUCAUGGCUCAGAGCGAACGCUGGCGGCAGGCCUAACACAUGCAAGUCGAGCGCCCCGCAAGGGGAGCGGCAGACGGGAGAGUAACACGUGGGAACGUACCCUUUGGUUCGGAACAACCCAGGGAAACUUGGGCUAAUACCGGAUAAGCCCUUACGGGGAAAGAUUUAUCGCCGAAGGAUCGGCCCGCGUCUGAUUAGCUAGUUGGUGGGGUAAUGGCCCACCAAGGCUACGAUCAGUAGCUGGUCUGAGAGGAUGAUCAGCCUCACUGGGACUGAGACACGGCCCAGACUCCUACGGGAGGCAGCAGUGGGGAAUAUUGGACAAUGGGCGCAAGCCUGAUCCAGCCGUGCCGCGUGGGUGAUGAAGGCCCUAGGGUUGUAAAGCCCUUUCAGCGGGGAAGAUAAUGACGGUACCCGCAGAAGAAGCCCCGGCUAACUUCGUGCCAGCAGCCGCGGUAAUACGAAGGGGGCUAGCGUUGCUCGGAAUCACUGGGCGUAAAGCGCACGUAGGCGGAUUGCUAAGUCAGGGGUGAAAUCCUGGAGCUCAACUCCAGAACUGCCCUUGAUACUGGCGACCUCGAGUCCGGGAGAGGUGAGUGGAACUGCGAGUGUAGAGGUGAAAUUCGUAGAUAUUCGCAAGAACACCAGUGGCGAAAGCGGCUCACUGGCCCGGUACUGACGCUGAGUGCGAAAGCGUGGGGAGCAAACAGGAUUAGAUACCCUGGUAGUCCACGCCGUAAACGAUGGAUGCUAGCCGUUGGAGGGUUUACUCUUCAGUGGCGCAGCUAACGCAUUAAGCAUCCCGCCUGGGGAGUACGUCGCAGAUUAAAACUCAAAGGAAUUGACCGGGGGCCGCACAGCGGUGGAGCAUUGUGGU